rnacentral:rRNA from 1 species
GACGAACGCUGGCGGCGUGCUUAACACAUGCAAGUCGAGCGGAAAGGCUCCUUCGGGGGUACUCGAGCGGCGAACGGGUGAGUAACACGUGAGUAAUCUGCCCUUGGCUUCGGGAUAGCCACCGGAAGCGGUGAUUAAUACCGGAUACGACAACUUCUCGCAUGGGAUGGUGGGGGAAAGUUGUUUCGGCCAGGGAGGUGCUCGCGGCCUAUCCGCUUGAUGGUGAGGUAAUGGCUCACCAUGGCGUCGACGGGUAGCCGGCCUGAGAGGGUGACCGGUCACACUGGGACGGAGACACGGCCCAGACUCCUACGGGAGGCAGCAGUGGGGAAUAUUGGACAAUGGGCGGAAGCCUGAUCCAGCAACGCCGCGUGAGGGAUGACGGCCUUCGGGUUGUAAACCUCUUUCGGUAGGGACGAAGCGCAAGUGACGGUACCUACUAAAGAAGCACCGGCCAACUACGUGCCAGCAGCCGCCGUAA